UGCCAGCCGCCGCGGUAAUACGGAAGGUCCGGGCGUUAUCCGGAUUUAUUGGGUUUAAAGGGAGCGCAGGCGGACUUUUAAGUCAGUUGUGAAAUACGGCGGCUCAACCGUCGGACUGCAGUUGAAACUGGAAGUCUUGAGUGCACACAGGGAUGUUGGAAUUCAUGGUGUAGCGGUGAAAUGCUCAGAUAUCAUGAAGAACUCCGAUCGCGAAGGCAGAUGUCCGGAGUGCAACUGACGCUGAGGCUCGAAAGUGCGGGUAUCAAACAGGAUUAGAUA
rnacentral:rRNA from 1 species